AUACGGAGGAUCCAAGCGUUAUCCGGAAUCAUUGGGUUUAAAGGGUCCGCAGGCGGCCAGAUAAGUCAGUGGUGAAAUUCCGUGGCUCAACCACGGAACUGCCAUUGAUACUGUUUGGCUUGAAUCAGUUCGAGGAUGCCGGAAUGUGUGGUGUAGCGGUGAAAUGCAUAGAUAUCACACAGAACACCAAUUGCGAAGGCAGGUGUCCCGAAGAACUGUAUUGACGCUGAGUGGAACGAAAGCGGUGGGUAGACGAACGAGGUAUUAGACUACCCGUGGUACGUCCACGACCGUAAACGA
rnacentral:rRNA from 1 species